UCCAGACUCCUACGGGAGGCAGCAGUGGGGAAUAUUGCACAAUGGGGGAAACCCUGAUGCAGCGACGCCGCGUGAGUGAAGAAGUAUUUCGGUAUGUAAAGCUCUAUCAGCAGGGAAGAAAAUGACGGUACCCGACCAAGAAGCCCCGGCUAACUACGUGCCAGCAGCCGCGGUAAUACGUAGGGGGCGAGCGUUAUCCGGAAUUACUGGGUGUAAAGGGAGCGUAGACGGCGAGGUAAGCCUGAAGUGGAAGCCCGCGGCCCAACCGCGGAACUGCUUUGGGAACUGUGCAGCUAGAGUGCAGGAGAGGUAAGUGGAAUUCCUAGUGUAGCGGUGAAAUGCGUAGAUAUUAGGAGGAACACCAGUGGCGAAGGCGGCUUACUGGACUGUAACUGACGUUGGGGCUCGAAAGCGUGGGGAGCAAACAGGAUUAGAUACCCCUGUA
rnacentral:rRNA from 1 species